AUGAGAGCUUCAGAGCUGCCAUUGACAAGUCCUAUGACAAACCUGCAGUGGACGAUGAUGACGAAGGCAUGGAGACGUUGGAAGAAGACACGGAAGAAAGUUCGAGAUCAGGAAGGAAUCUGUAUCCACAGCCAGCGACCAGCCUUCCCACUCUCUGGAGAGACAGAUGAAUGGAAACCAAGACAGAGGCGAGAAGCCCGAUCGGAGGAAAGAGAAAAUAGGCAAAGAAAAGAAGAAAGACAGAGACAAGGAGAAGGAGAAGAUGAAAGCCAAGAAGGGGAAGCUGAGGGGCUUGGGAGACAUGUUCAGGUAGGUGCUACCGGGCGGGGCUGGCCGUCCCACUGUGAGUGCCAGGCCAGCGCCAGAUGUGAGGACUUUGAGGUCAGCUGA
rnacentral:lncRNA from 1 species